rnacentral:miRNA from 1 species
CAAGUGGUAUAGAUCCUGUUCAAC